UACGAAGGGGGCUAGCGUUGCUCGGAAUCACUGGGCGUAAAGCGCACGUAGGCGGACUCUUAAGUCGGUGGUGAAAUCCUGGAGCUCAACUCCAGAACUGCCUUCGAUACUGGGAGUCUCGAGUCCGGGAGAGGUGAGUGGAACUGCGAGUGUAGAGGUGAAAUUCGUAGAUAUUCGCAAGAACACCAGUGGCGAAGGCGGCUCACUGGCCCGGUACUGACGCUGAGGUGCGAAAGCGUGGGGAGCAAAAAGG
rnacentral:rRNA from 1 species